rnacentral:misc_RNA from 1 species
CCCGUGAGUACCUAGCUAGCUUCCCUAUAAAUAGCUGCCGAGCUCCGCUCAAGCUUGUUCAUCCACUCUCAUCACCAGCUAAGAACAGGGCUUCGUCUCAAUGGAAGGCAAAACAGGGCAGCUCAGGUGCUGUUUCGUCGCCAUCGUGCUCGUCCUGGGUCUUGUCCUUGAGUCCCACCAGGCUGAAGCUGGAGGCAAAUGGUGCUGCGAAACCGCCACCGGAAAAUACCAUUUUAAUCGCUGCGUUGACUCGGGUUUGGUCGACAAUAUUGGGUUCUGUGCGGGUAAUGCCGGUUGCAUCAUUAUGGAAGACAGAUGUGGAGGCCGUUGGCCGGUGAUGCGCUUUCCCUGGAUGUCAUUUGAUUAAUUAUAAGCAAGUACGUGAAGAAACGAGGGCCAGACGACUGUCGUCCAGCGAUUGGUUAUUUGUGAACUUGUCGUUUGUCUUCUUAUUUCAACUUUCCAAUAAGCCCCUUCGUGAAGUGUCAUCCCCUUCAAAGUCUGUCGACUGUUACGUAUACAAAUCUAUAUAUCAAAUAAAGACGGCGCCGUACGUGUGUAUAUGUCUCUAUUUCUGAUCUUGCAGUCGUUUGCUUAAUCAAUUGUUCUGUCACUAUUUUAUCUAAUAAAAUUGCACGUACGCAUGUAUAUGGUUUCACAGCUAAAAAAUAAUUCUCGCCUUGACAAUUACUGUUUUUUCAUAAAAUAUUAUCUGCAUAACCAAGUUUAAAAGUACGACAAAACGUAAAAUGGGCAGAGCAGAUGUCUGCAUGCACGGACGGAACGAUCGAUAUGCAGAUAUGCUGCGGCGCGCAACCCGGUUAGGCGUUACCAAAUAAGUUAC